CUACGGAGGGUGCAAGCGUUACUCGGAAUCACUGGGCGUAAAGCGCGCGCAGGCGGCUAUUUAAGUUGGAUGUGAAAGCCUACGGCUCAACCGUAGAAAUGCAUCCAAAACUAUUUAGCUAGAGUGUGGGAGAGGAAGAUGGAAUUAGUUGUGUAGGGGUAAAAUCCGUAGAGAUAACUAGGAAUACCAAAAGCGAAGUCAAUCUUCUGGAACACUACUGACGCUGAGGCGCGAAAGCGUGGGGAGCAAACGGGAUUAGAAACCCUAGUAGUCC
rnacentral:rRNA from 1 species